AUUGAACGCUGGCGGCAGGCCUAACACAUGCAAGUCGAACGAGUGGCGGACGGGUGAGUUAUGUCUGGGAAACUGCCUGAUGGAGGGGGAUAACUACUGGAAACGGUAGCUAAUACCGCAUACCAUCAGAUGUGCCCAGAGGGGAUUAGAUAGUUGGUGGGGUAACGGCUCACCAAGGCGUCGCUCCCUAGCUGGUCUGAGAGGAUGACCAGACAAACGGGAACUGAGACACGGUCCUGACUCCUACGGGAGGCAGCAGUGGGGAAUAUUGCACAAUGGGCGCAAGCCUGAUGCAGCCAUGCCGCGUGUGUGAAGAAGGCCUUCGGGUGGUAAAGUACUUUCAGCGGGGAGGCGUUACCCGCAGAAGAAGCACCGGAUAACUCCGUGCCAGCAGCCGCGGUAAUUC
rnacentral:rRNA from 1 species